rnacentral:rRNA from 1 species
UGAUAAUACUUUACUACUUGGAUAACCGUGGUAAUUCUAGAGACAAGCCUUUGACUACAUCCCGACUUCGGAAGGGUUGUAUUUAUUAGAUUAAAAACCAAUGCCCCUCGGGGCUCUCUGGUGAAUCAUAAUAACUAGUCGAAUCGACAGGCCUUGUGCCGGCGAUGGCUCAUUCAAAUUUCUUCCCUAUCAACUUUCGAUGUUUGGGUCUUGUCCAAACAUGGUGGCAACGGGUAACGGAGGGUUAGGGCUCGACCCCGGAGAAGGAGCCUGAGAAACGGCUACUACAUCCAAGGAAGGCAGCAGGCGCGCAAAUUACCCAAUCCCGACACGGGGAGGUNGUGGAUACCGGGCUCUUUUGGGUCUUGUAAUCCGAAUGAGUACAAUUUAAAUCCCUUUACCAGGAACCAU